UAAUCGUGAGUUUUUCAAUCAUAUCGCAAUGUGCUCAACGACACCUCCACAAUCUACUGUUAAGUCAGAUCAACAGCCGAAUCUGAAAACUGACUUACGUGAUAAUAUAUACGCCAAUGCUAAAGAUAUUGAAUCCGAUUACUAUGGUUUCAAUGCCUUUGCUACUGGUAUUCAACCUCACGAACUAUGGACGUACAUUCGUGACCAAAUCCAGAUUGAUGAGUUUCAGAAAUUACCUGCUGGUUUGGUUCGAAAGCACGACGUCGCAUCUGC